UACAGAGGGUGCGAGCGUUAAUCGGAAUUACUGGGCGUAAAGGGCGCGUAGGCGGAUAACUAAGUGGGAUGUGAAAGCCCCGGGCUUAACCUGGGAAGUGCAUACCAAACUGAUUAUCUGGAGUACAAGAGAGGGUGGCGGAAUUUCCGGUGUAGCGGUGAAAUGCGUAGAGAUCGGAAGGAACGUCAGUGGCGAAGGCGGCCACCUGGCUUGAUACUGACGCUGAGGCGCGAGAGCGUGGGGAGCGAACAGG
rnacentral:rRNA from 1 species